rnacentral:rRNA from 1 species
AAUCAACGCUGGCGGCGUGCCUAACACAUGCAAGUCGAACGCGAAAGUGGAGCAAUCCAUGAGUAGAGUGGCGAACGGGUGAGUAAUGUAUCGGAACGUACCAUUGAGUGGGGGAUAACUAUCCGAAAGGAUAGCUAAUACCGCAUAUUCUCUCCGGAGGAAAGCAGGGGACCGCAAGGCCUUGCGCUCAUUGAGCGGCCGAUAUCAGAUUAGCUAGUUGGUGAGGUAAAGGCUCACCAAGGCGACGAUCUGUAGCGGGUCUGAGAGGAUGAUCCGCCACACUGGAACUGAGACACGGUCCAGACUCCUACGGGAGGCAGCAGUGGGGAAUUUUGGACAAUGGGGGCAACCCUGAUCCAGCCAUGCCGCGUGAGUGAAGAAGGCCUUCGGGUUGUAAAGCUCUUUCGGCCGGGAAAAAAUCGCAUGGGUUAAUACCCUGUGUGGAUGAUGGUACCGGAAUAAGAAGCACCGGCUAACUACGUGCCAGCCGCCGCAGUAA